GCCUCUGUCCUCACUGGCGACACAUUUGGAGCUCACGUAUGUAAGCUCAACACCACAGAGAUGGAUGUAAUGUGGGGAAGAAGAGAAGAGGGCAGAGAGAUGUUCUCGGGGCUGUGCCCAGAAAGCACCCCUGUCAUCACAGCUGGAUGCCAAGACGCACACUGAUGGUAGAGAAUAUGCUGGGGUCAGAGGCCUAGACUCCUCUCCGGGGUACCACGUGGCCUUUGGUUGUUUCUUGGCUGUGACAUUUCCUCAGACUUUUCUGUGUACCUGAUGACCCUGACAACAGUUGCUCGGUGCUCUAUGCAUGCUGUUGUUUUG